rnacentral:lncRNA from 1 species
AUCUGGAAAAGACCGAUACCGUUGAAAGUCAAAAUGGUGCACACUACCAGUAAGCUCCCAACUUGCGAUUUUUUUAGUCCAAAAGGUACGUGCCCUUCUUCCAUCUGUCCAAUCUGCUGCACUCAACUAUAAUCUAUAUCACACCGCUUCCUCAAGUGUGACAGUGUGAGGUCUUUAUGGGAUACUGUUUUGUUGGGAGUUAUCGACAUGAUACCAGUUCUGAAAGCAGCGAGAGGAGUUUAUAAAUAGUUGGCCGCCCUUCUAUGGAAACUUUUUGGGCAGGAAGAUCAUGAGGAUACUACCUUAUGCGCUGUUAUGGACCACCUGGAAAUUCAGGAAUGAUUUUAUCUUUAGAGGUGUUGAGAUUGACAGGGAAAAAACUCAGAUGCCUGUGAAAGCGACAACUUGGUAUCAGCUUGGAGGAGGUACACUGAACAAAGAUCACAGGUUUGAAGGACUCAUGUUAUCCCCUGUUAUUUAUUUUUUAUCCUUGGUAAGUAUCAGUUUAUUGAUGUGAAGUAAAAGAAUUACAAAGACAACAAAGAAAAGAAGUAAAAACAGAAAACAGAAAAAACCACAAGUGAAGCAGGUUAUGCUUCCUUGAAUCUGAAGUAAAUUGCAUUUGGGUCUUCUACUCUCUGGAUGAAAGGAUCGUGAGGUCUCCCAACAAAAACUUGCCUGCCAACUGGCCCUAAAUUCACACCAAAAUUAGCUAAGGCAUCAGCUGUGAAGUUAACCUCUCUCCAGGUGGAGGUAAUAACAACAUGCUCAAGUGACACCAUUGUUUUUUCCAUCGUGUUUCCAUGUCCAUGGCACCUUGUGUCUUCCGAAAAUAUGAACUGCAGCCACACUGUCAGAUUCUAACCAUACUAAUUUAUGUCUCUGUUGAGCUGCCCAUUCAGCCCCAAUGAGUAUAGCCCAACACUCAGCUGUAACGUCGUUUGUUCCAACCCUUGACUAACUGCGCUCAGAACAUUGCCCUUGUUGUCUCUGACCACUACACCUAAACCUGAAGGUCCAAGAUUUCCUUUAGAGGCAGCAUCUGUGUUGAUUUUAACAAAGCUCAAAGAAGGAGGAUGCCACCUACAUGGCAUGAUUCUUGGACCACCAGGAAAUUCAGGAAUGAUUUAUCUUUAGAGGUGUCAAGAUUGACAGGGGAAAAAAUCUGAUGGCUGUGAAAGCAACAACUUGGUAUUGGCUUGGAGGAGGUACACUGAACAAAGAUCA